rnacentral:rRNA from 1 species
GUCAGGGGAAUAGCCCAGGGAAACUUGGAUUAAUGCCCCAUGGUACCGUUAUAUCGCAUGAUAUUGCGGUUAAAGAUUUAUCGGACAGGGAUGGCCAUGCGUACCAUUAGUUAGUUGGUGAGGUAACGGCUCACCAAGGCAGCGAUGGUUAGGGGCCCUGAGAGGGGGAUCCCCCACACUGGUACUGAGACACGGACCAGACUCCUACGGGAGGCAGCAGUGAGGAAUAUUGGACAAUGGGCGGGAGCCUGAUCCAGCCAUGCCGCGUGCAGGAUGACGGCCCUAUGGGUUGUAAACUGCUUUUAUACGGGAAGAAACGCGCCCACGUGUGGGCGUUUGACGGUACCGUAAGAAUAAGGACCGGCUAACUCCGUGCCAGCAGCCGCGGUAAUACGGAGGGUCCGAGCGUUAUCCGGAAUCAUUGGGUUUAAAGGGUCCGUAGGCGGGCCUGUAAGUCAGGGGUGAAAGUUUGUGGCUCAACCAUAAAAUUGCCUUUGAUACUGCAGGUCUUGAGUCAUGGUGGGGUUGCCGGAACAUGUGGUGUAGCGGUGAAAUGCAUAGAUAUCACAUAGAACACCGAUCGCGAAGGCAGGUGACCAACCAUGUACUGACGCUG